CACAGGCAGGAUUGGCAGAUUGAGAGCUCUUUCUCGAUUCCGUGGGUGGUUGUGCAUGGCCGUUCUUAGUUGGAGCAGCGAUACGCCUUGUUAAUUCCUAUA